AGCGAGUGGCGAACGGGUGAGUAACACGUGGAUAACCUGCCUCAAGGCUGGGGAUAACAUUUGGAAACAGAUGCUAAUACCGAAUAAAACUUAGUAUCGCAUGAUAUCAAGUUAAAAGGCGCUACGGCGUCACCUAGAGAUGGAUCCGCGGUGCAUUAGUUAGUUGGUGGGGUAAAGGCUUACCAAGACAAUGAUGCAUAGCCGAGUUGAGAGACUGAUCGGCCACAUUGGGACUGAGACACGGCCCAAACUCCUACGGGAGGCUGCAGUAGGGAAUCUUCCACAAUGGGCGCAAGCCUGAUGGAGCAACGCCGCGUGUGUGAUGAAGGCUUUCGGGUCGUAAAGCACUGUUGUAUGGGAAGAAAUGCUAAAAUAGGGAAUGAUUUUAGUUUGACGGUACCAUACCAGAAAGGGACGGCUAAAUACGUGCCAGCAGCCGCGGUAAUACGUAUGUCCCGAGCGUUAUCCGGAUUUAUUGGGCGUAAAGCGAGCGCAGACGGUUGAUUAAGUCUGAUGUGAAAGCCCGGAGCUCAACUCCGGAAUGGCAUUGGAAACUGGUUAACUUGAGUGUUGUAGAGGUAAGUGGAACUCCAUGUGUAGCGGUGGAAUGCGUAGAUAUAUGGAAGAACACCAGUGGCGAAGGCGGCUUACUGGACAACAACUGACGUUGAGGCUCGAAAGUGUGGGUAGCAAACAGGAUUAGAUACCCUGGUAGUCCACACCGUAAACGAUGAAUACUAGGUGUUAGGAGGUUUCCGCCUCUUAGUGCCGAAGCUAACGCAUUAAGUAUUCCGCCUGGGGAGUACGACCGCAAGGUUGAAACUCAAAGGAAUUGACGGGGACCCGCACAAGCGGUGGAGCAUGUGGUUUAAUUCGAAGCAACGCGAAGAACCUUACCAGGUCUUGACAUCCUUUGAAGCUUUUAGAGAUAGAAGUGUUCUCUUCGGAGACAAAGUGACAGGUGGUGCAUGGUCGUCGUCAGCUCGUGUCGUGAGAUGUUGGGUUAAGUCCCGCAACGAGCGCAACCCUUAUUGUUAGUUGCCAGCAUUCAGUUGGGCACUCUAGCGAGACUGCCGGUGACAAACCGGAGGAAGGCGGGGACGACGUCAGAUCAUCAUGCCCCUUAUGACCUGGGCUACACACGUGCUACAAUGGCGUAUACAACGAGUUGCCAACCUGCGAAGGUGAGCUAAUCUCUUAAAGUACGUCUCAGUUCGGACUGCAGUCUGCAACUCGACUGCACGAAGUCGGAAUCGCUAGUAAUCGCGGAUCAGCACGCCGCGGUGAAUACGUUCCCGGGUCUUGUACACACCGCCCGUCACACCAUGGGAGUUUGUAAUGCCCA
rnacentral:rRNA from 1 species